rnacentral:rRNA from 1 species
GUGUAGCAGGCGCGAAACUUCACAAUGUGCGAAAGCACAAUGAGGGAAUCCCAAGUGCUUGCACGUAAGUGUAAGCUGUUUCUCUGUCUAAAACGCAGAGAGAGUAAGGGCUGGGUAAGACGGGUGCCAGCCGCCGCGGUAAUACCUGCAGCUCGAGUGGUGACCGUUAUUAUUGGGCCUAAAACGUCCGUAGCCGGUUUAAUAAAUGCCUGGGUAAAUCGGACCGCUUAACGGUUCGAAUUCCGGGUAGACUGUUAAACUUGAGACCGGGAGAAGUUAGAGGUACUCCUGGGGUAGAGGUGAAAUUCUGUAAUCCUAGGGGGACCACCAGUGGCGAAGGCGUCUAACUAGAACGGGUCUGACGGUGAGGGACGAAGCCCUGGGGCGCAAACGGGAUUAGAUACCCCUGUAGU